rnacentral:rRNA from 1 species
UGGGGAAUAUUGCACAAUGGAGGGAACUCUGAUGCAGCGACGCCGCGUGAGUGAUGAAGGACUUCGUUUCGUAAAACUCUGUUCUAUGGGAAGAAAAGGACUGUACCAUAGGAGAAAGCUCCGGCUAAAUACGUGCCAGCAGCCGCGGUAAUACGUAUGGAGCGAGCGUUGUCCGGAAUUGUUGGGCGUAAAGGGUGCGCAGGCGGCUUUACAAGUUGGAUGUGAAAUAUUGUGGCUCAACCACAAACGUGCAUCCAAAACUGCAAAGCUUGAGUUAAGGAGAGGUAAGUGGAAUUCCUGGUGUAGCGGUGGAAUGCGUAGAUAUCAGGAGGAAUACCGGUGGCGAAGGCGACUUACUGGACUUAAACUGACGCUCAGGCACGAAAGCGUGGGGAGCAAACAGG